rnacentral:lncRNA from 1 species
AGAUAUCAGAAAUUUUAAGUACAUUCAUUCAUUUUAAUAUUCUUUGCAGGAUGUUGUCAAAACCAUAUAUGUUGCCUGCAGGUGGUUUGUGCAUCACCAGAGGACGAUCUCUACUUAGAUUCUUGGGAGCCAUCUGUUUUCUGCAUAUAGAAAAAUGACAGGGAUUCACUUUCCAAGAAAUUACACUAUGUUCAAUGACUUCCCAUCAAGAGUAAGCAAUGUUCCAUAUCCUGCCAUUGAUUCACAGAGCCACAGGCUAGCUAGAACAUACCCUCAAGGAAAACUAUUUCUCUACUCACAGAAUACUCCUGAUACCAUGUGUGUGGGCAUUUUUCCCACACCAAAUUCUUGGACUCUUCAGACACCAACUGACUGUCUUAAAUUAAAUUCUUUAUUUUUUUUUAAAGUAGGUAAUAUGGUAAUACCUUUAUUUAAUUAUUUUUAAAGUAAGCUCUAUACACAACAUGGGGCUUGAACUCACAACCCUGAGAUCAAGGGUCACAUUCUCUACUGAUUGAGCCAGCC